UUUCGAUUGAGGGAACAUCUGUAGUAAAUAUUUAGAAAUUAACGCAACCAUCAAAAAAUUAUCAAUUAGAAGUUGUAUGUAUAUUCGCAAGAAAUUUGAACUUUAUUUCACUGCCACGUGAUUGAUUAUGCUAAACGAGGAGAGAUUAGAAGAAGAUGUUUCAAUGCGGGGUACCUCGCCCUUAGAAAAUGCAGACGAUUCCUACCCUGGGCCUUUAUUACAUCAUGAGAUGGAUGGCCCCUUUACAUGUUGCAAAAAAAUCUAGGAGGACGAAGCUUAUUUGCACACCCAUUAAGAUUAAUAAUCUCGCCAUGAUUAAACAGAUUGUCGGCCACCUCUGCAGCUUCCUGACAAGCAAUGACAUCAAACAAUGUCGACUCGUCUCGCACGUUUGGAAUUAUGGGUCCACCCCCAAACUAAAAGCAAAGACAAGAACAAGAAUCUCCUUAUGUCGAAAUGAUACUGCUAUUUUCGAUGUUAUCGACAAACUGAAAUUCUCCGCGGUCAACGUCCUUUUACAAGUCAUAGCUGUACCUGCACUCAAUUUGCCCCCCAUCGACCUCGAAAUAUUCCCCAUGAUGAGAAAUGCAGGGUUCGGAAGAACCCAGGGUUUUAAUCAAAAAUGAUAAAACCCAUGGGUUUUAAUGGGUUUUACCAUGUUAAUUGGGUUUU